GAUGAAGAACGUAGCGAAAUGCGAUACUUGGUGUGAAUUGCAGAAUCCCGUGAACCAUCGAGUCUUUGAACGCAAGUUGCGCCCGAAGCCAUUAGGCCGAGGGCACGCCUGCCUGGGCGUCACACGUCGUUGCCCCCCCAUCUACUCCUUCGGGAUUGCGGGGGGCGGAUGAUGGCCUCCCGUGCGCCUCGCCGCGCGGUUGGCAUAAAUGCCAAGUCCUCGGCGACGCACGCCACGACAAUCGGUGGUUGCGAAACCUCGGUUGCCCGUCGUGGGCGGUCGUCGCGCAUCGAGGGCUCGAAAAAAUUGCCGGGUUCCGGCUCGGCUUUCAACGCGACCCCAGGUCAGGCGGGGUUACCCGCUGAAUUUAAGCAUAUCAAUAAGCGGAGGA
rnacentral:misc_RNA from 1 species